GGCUCCGCCCCGCCCACCGCCUGCGCGCGCACCGCGCCCGCGCGCCGCCGUUCCCUCCGGUGCGCGCAGAGUCGGGCGGCGCGCGGCCGUGUCCCGGCGCAGCCGCCGUGGCAGCCGCCGAAUCGCCGAGGCGCCUCUGAAGUGACACGCGAACGUUUAUUAGGCGGUUGCGGGUUUGGCGAACCCACGGCGUACGUUCCCAAGGGCGCCCAGGCCUCGCACCGGUGACAGCGGCGUCGCAUCGUUUCCCAUCGCCGGCGUCUUCUCAUCGUGUCCUUUGGACACAGCGUCAGGAAGCAGUUCUGUCCUCGUUCCAUUCCCUUCUAACUCAGAGGAACUUUCUGUCCUCCCCUCCUUUUUCUCUACACACUCUUCGCGUAAACCACAUUUCCUGCUCUCAUCCUUUCCUCCCAAUACCUUUCCCCGUCUCUCAGUCAUCCCCUUCACCUCUAGCAGUAAGCGUCCUUUCUCAGUUCUCGUUCCUAGCGAUGUCCUAAGGCUGCCCGCUCUCCCUCUGGGUUUCCUCGAGGGCUGAGCAGCAGAGCACAGCCCCAGCGCUCCGCAGCCAUCCACAUAUCAGCCUUCACCAGAGGUAACAGCAAAGUCCCCGUGGGCACUCAGAGUGGCACAGCCUCAGGGCCUGACCUCAGAUGUCACUGUGCUCAUCACACCGCAGAGCAAUGCCACGGGGUGGCUUUAGAAGCCUCCUACCUCCAUUUUGUUUGAGUGGUAACGCUGCACUAAGCAGACAAGAGCAGACAAGCAGGAACGUGUUCUAAGAGUUUCUAACUUUAGGACCAUGAAUCAGGAUCUGCUGUACUCGCUGCACAGAAUGGAUGCAAUUCCCAAGGCCCACACAGCAAACCUGAAAGCUGUCUUAGGCACGUUCCUCUCAAGUUGUACGUCUGUUGCUCUUGGAGCACAUUGACCAACUCAGGAGAGCACAAGUGGCAAGCAGCAGCUUGGUGCAGUGAAUCCCGAGCGCAGCUCCCUCUCAUAGCUAUGCUCAUGUUAGCGCCUAUUGAAAGGUGAGCAGUACUGUAUUGAGCAGUCUCACUUCGCCUCCCUUCCAGGUGUGCCUUCCUGUCUCCUUUGUACAGCAUUCCUGAUUUUGGAGGGUGAACUUUCUGCAAGUUAGCUUUCUGGGUCACUGCUGGGCAAGGCAAGAGCCAGGGCUGGCUUCGGGAAAGCUGAAGGAACUCCCAGCCUGGAAGAAGAAGGAGGACAAGGUCAGCGGCAGCAUUAGGCCACUUUGUGUUCUCUUUCUCCCUUAAAAAGUAUUCAGACUUCAACCAACGAUGCUUUAUGUGCUGCUGUCUUCAGGUCAGAGUCUGAGCUCUGUGGAUGGUAUGAUUUUACCUGCCACAGUGGUAGGUAGAAACGCUCGUUGCUGUGACUCGGCGGUCGUGUCACACUAUAAGCAGUAACACGUAGGUAAAGAAUACGAAAAUAUCUCAGGCUAAGAAAGGUUUUCUGUAUUGCAUCUGGCGUCCCCAUUGCUGUUUGGUGUGAGAAUUGGCAUUAUGAACUGCUACUGUCUGUCCUGCUCAACACAGACAUACGUUGCAAGCCUGCUCCACGCUGGAGGGCACGAGUUACCCACUGCACUUUCUUCAACAAAAAACCCCACUCUGCAGGAAACAAAAUGAGGCCGCGGUGCAGAGAUGAGAAGAAAGGCAGCCUGCAACAACGGACACAGCGCUCAGAGAGAUUUUUGCCUCGGCGAGACAUUCUGCAAACAUGCUAAGGCUACAAAAUGCCCAAGUUGACAAAGACAUGCAACGCUGACCAUUCAAUAAGUCACGGCUAUUAGAGGAGCGACCAUGCCCACCUGGGCCGCAGGUCCCAUAGGACAGGGAUGGCGUACAGCGAUCAUGGCAACGCACUACACAGGACCUAGUAACCUGAGGUAGGUCUCUUCACAGUAAGAAAACAACAUCCUACACCAGUGUUACAUCCUGAUCUGCAGGAACCCGUUUAAAGUUCCAGGAGACGUGGAGUGGGGGACUGUUUCCUUAACAAGUGUGCAAUAAAGAAACAGGAAA